AGGAGGAAGGCGAGGAGGCGGCGGAGCAGCGGCAGGAGCAGGGCUCGGUAGGCAGAGGAGACGCGAGGAGAGGGAAGAAGAAGCAACGCCGGCACCGCAGGGCUGCUCGGCGCCCCUGCUCUCCGGGGCCAUCCCGGUGCCGGUGUCCCCGGGUGGCAGCCGCACGGCGACAGAUCUGCGAGCAGAGAGCUUACCUCCGGCAUGAGACCAGCAAGAAAAGGCAGCUCCUCGGCGAGAGGCAGUGCGAAG